GUGCCAAACAGCCCACUCAAUCUUUCCCUCUUUUAUCAAAUCCCUCUAGUCCUCUUUGGCUCCCUCACAACUCAAACCCUAAACUAUAUCUCAAGCUCUACAACAAAAUGAUAAUCCUAGAGCUAACUCAGAAUAUAGAGGUAAUUCUAAAAUGCUAAAUAGCCUGAAAGCUAACUCUUGGUCCGGGAGCUAACUCAGCUAACUUUUGGAGAUGAAAUGGUAGCCAACUCUCACUGGCCAGAACUCUGUUGCACUCAUAUCCGUCCAGAGAUUGCACUCACCCACAAGGGUGGAGGGAAAGGGAAGGAAACUGUCUGGAGCUGUAGCCAGCCUCCACCGCGGGCGCUUACUUUCCUCUUACUGACCCCAGAGGGAGGGAGUGGUGAUUCAACAUGGAGGACUAGUUGGAGCACUGCAGAGAGGGAGACAUGGUUCACUUACAGCCGCCGAUUAAACCUCCACCGCCAAUGCCGAUGCCAAGAGCUGAAUAGAAAGCUAGCUAACGGGGUCCUGGGGCGCAACACCAUGCUAACACAAGCGGUCGUCUUUACCUCUCGCUCUCCCUUCCCUCUCUCUCUCACUUUCCAUUCCUUUUCAGUCAGCACUCUCUCCUCCAUUCAGACAACCUAAACAGAAAAGUAUCUCUCUUUCUCCACUUGGCUUAGAGAGUUGGCAAGCCUGCCAUCCUCUCUCCCUCUUCCCUCCAUUCCUGGUUCCACUACGUGUUGCUCCCUUGAAAACACAUCUAAUGACAUAGCCUUUGGAAUGGGGAGAGCACAGGGUUCAUGGAAAAUACAGGUUCCUGUCUCCUGGCCUGUCUCUCUUCUGCUGGAUCCAGGGCUGCCAAGACAAACAGAAAAACAGCUGCAGCCAGGGGAAUACCAACAGUGUUGCCAUGGUUACCUCUCUGGUCCAAAACCAUGGCAACGGAGGAGUAAGUGCACCAUUCCAAGGAAGAUGACAGUGCAGAGGAAGAUAAUUACUUUUGCACUUACAGACGCAAGUCGCCGUGCCAGGUUUUGCAGUAAAUGUGCCGAGUCAACAUGGCUGCGAACGUCAUAUAGCGACGAGCUCACCGUGCAGCAUCAUGCACACUGAUUGGAUUAUGAGCCCAAGCAUGCUAAUUGCCUAGCCUUUAUGGAGCACGCUUAAUUAUUUGAAUACUGCUAUGUGCACAGCCAAUAAAGGUAUACAGUGUGGCUCGUAUACUGCACAAUAAGCAACUGCAGGGUGUCUCCUGUCUUAUUGCCAACCUUAGCACACCCAGGAGAACAGUACAAGUUAUUCCCAUAUAAGUGGUUUUAAGAGAGAUGUGUAGGAAUCAGUCAGUAAAGCAUCCCCAUUGGUCGGUUCUCUUUGUAAACUCUGAAGUCUUACAUAAUUAUACUAUCUGAUUGAAAGAUAGUUUUGCAACAACCAUUAAAUGUACAACAUCCCUAAA